ACAAGCUGGUUCCAGUACCUAACUGGAGCAAGAGCCUGCUAAACACCAGCUCUUUCUGUUUCCACUGCUAAAAGAUCUGAGUCUAGCGCACCAAAACAAAACGCUGUGCUUAAAAACGCAGUUUCUUUUAAAUUUGCUUAACUUAAGACAAAAUACUUUGUUUCAGCAUGAAUACUAACUGAAAUUAGCAAAGCAUGAGCUCAUCUAGUUUGUGUGUUAUUAAAAUUACAGGUUAGUUUUUAAAUCGCAAUUUUAAACGUCGUUUAUAAACUAAAGGGAUUCGAAUGAAGGCAACUGAACUUAUGUUUCUUCAAUUCUGAAUGGAUAAUACUCCUCGGAUGAAAAGCAAAACAUCUUCAAGAAACACAAGAAGUGGAUUACCAUUCCCUGGAUGACCUGAGAACCCUCACCAGCAUCAUUUAUAAACAUUGUUUACUCUUGUUUACUCUUACUAUCACCAGCUGGUGUUUAUAAAACCAGUUUGAAAGGAUGUGUGAAACUCUCUCUUAUAGCAGCGUUUACUCUUUGGAGAUGGUUGCAGAAGGUUCCCAAGCAAUGACUGUUGUUUAAAAUGGUGUUUAAAGAAAUGGGUGCAGUUAAGUGUGUUUAUCAGGAAUUUUGAGGGAACGCCGGUGAUCCUCUACAGAAACUCUGAAUAAAACAGAGGUAAUGUCAAACAUUUACUAGAGGAGACUUUGUUCCCUGAUGGUGGAAAACCAAACCACAACCACUCUUGUUCUAGCACCGAAACUUCUUUAAUAGAUCACCCAAAACAAUAACUAGAAAUGCAGAUUUUCUAACAUUGGACUGGUUUAGAGUCAAAAGGAAACAUCUUCAACAACUACAACAAAUCUUCCAAACCAGCCUCUUUACAUUCAUGUACUGUAAGUCACAUGUGAAACGCACAAAGCUGCAUGUCAUGAUGUUCCUGAUGUUUAAUAUAAGCUUCAUGGUUGCUGGAGUGGGGCCACGCGGUGGUGCAGUGGCUAGAGUUGUUGCCUUGCAGCGAGAAGGUGCUGGGUUUGCUUCCCGGCCUGGGAUCUUUCUGCAUGGAAGUUGCCUGUUGUUAGUGUUAGCUCAUUGUUAGCGCUAGCUAGGCUGCUGCAAGGUUGUUUACCACAGUUGUAAUUCGACUUUCAAUGAGUAGGACGGAGAAGCUAGAAACUGUCUAGUGUUACUUUAAUUUUGUCUAAAUUUGUCUCUCUUUUUCGUCUCUCUUUUUAAGACAAAAUAAAUGGAUGCAAGCGUUAUCACACCCUCCACACCUUCUCAGUGGCCUAGUGGAAGAGUGUCUGCCCUGGAAAUGGGAGAUCAGGGUUAAAAUCCCGGUCAGGUCAUACAGACUUUUAAAAAAAAUGGGACCCAAUGCAUCCCCGCUUGAUACUCAACUUUAAGGGGUUGAAUUGGAGGGUUAAACCACCAAAUGGUUCCUGAGCACAGCCACAGGUGGAGCUCACCACAGGAAUGUGUGAAAUGUGGAGAAGACUUUUACCAGUGUUUGAUGACUAAUGGGAAGUCUGAAAUCUCAGAAACAGCAGGAUGAAGAGACCCCUCUCUGUCUCUUUAACCUUUAAUUAUUUAACUUGCAGGGAUAACCCAUUCAGAAACUAUGAAAGACCUUACAUAGGAAAUCUUGUUAUCCCACUUUUAUUUUGGUAGUCUACUUCUGUUUUUCUACUAUUUUAAUUUGCAUUCUAAUUUAAAAUUUAGAUUAAAGUCCCACAUCUACAUCUGGAUAUCCAAAUGUAGACUCUGAAUACAAAAUCGUUCCAUUCUAGUAAUAUAAAUGAGCAUGGCAUGAAAAAGAAUGUGUUGGAUGUGGGAAACGAGAAGUGAGAUUCAUAGAACUGAAGAUAUGGAGUCCAUAUUUACAUGACCAACGUCUCUCCUAAUCCAAAUGACAUGGAUGCAAGUGUUGCCACUCGUCGCAUAUGAGCUGCGUUAGACUGUAGCUAGGAACAAAGCUGACUGCAGGUUGUCUCAGAUGAUCUUCUCACACAUGAUCACUGGGCUCAACUUGGGCUCAACUUCUCUUCCAUCUGCUCUGACUCAAACCAGAAAGUGGGACAUACUGCUGAGGCCCAAAUCCAACAGAGUUUUCUGCAUUUGCCUUCUGUGUUUUGUGAAAUCUUAAUCUAGGAUGACUAACUGAGAAGAUAUCCUCUUCUCUGAGGACCCAAAUUAUUCACUAAUUUAGCUCCUUGUAUUCCUCUGUUUCGGGCCUUUCGUGCUCCUUACUUAUGAAUAAUAAAUAAAGCAUUACAUUUACAAACUAUUUUUUACUAAAGAUUGUUUUUUUUUUAUCAGAGUAACAAAUUGACUCCAAAAAUAAUGUAGAAUUCACCAUUAGGUGGGCUUUGAAAAGCUUUUGAACAAUAAGAAUAGCUUGGUGUUGAUAUGGGUGUCAUUAAAUAUAAAUGCCAACAACAGAAAUAGAUAACUUUUAUAACAAAUAUCAUGAAUCCAUUGCUUGGAUUUGGUCUUUUUUAUUCUUUUAUUUUGUUUAUUCUUUGUAAUACUUUGUACAUCGAUAUAUAAUUUUGCCAUUUGCUUUGUGAACUCUUUGAUGCAGCCUGUUUGUGAAAUGCAAUAGGAAUAAAAGGACAUUGAAAUUAAUUCCUUAAUCCCAAACAUCCUACGAAAUUCAUGGAUCAUAAAAUGAAAUUCUGAAGCAAAUCAAAGGAAAAAGGGGUUUGGGCAUGAAAACUUGAAUCCUAGGUUUGUUAAUGACCUCGAACAUCGUGUGACUGCUGGUGGGAACCAAAGAAUAACAGAUGGCUCCAAAAUUAGAUUUGACUUUGAAACAUCUCUAAUGAAUGGGUGGGAAAAUGGUUUGGGACCAUCUUCUUACAGGAAAUAAAGACUCGUCCAACCAUUAACCUCACGAUAAGUUUUAGCUGUUUGGCAGUUGAAUCAGUUCGUCACUCUGUUUGAGCACUUGAUUAAAAAAAUCUGUCCUUAUGGAGUUACUGAUGUGCAAACUUUUUUUAACUCAAUAGAACAACUUCUGUACACGCAUAUGUCACUGGAUUAUAAACAUUUAGACUUGUUUGGUCUGCAAGCUCUUCAAAAACCCAUCUGGGGCCUGGGAAUGACAGGGUAAAGGAGAAUCAUGUCAACAAGUGUGAAAAAUGUUAAAUGUUACGAGAAAAAAUGUGCAUUGCUUCUUAGUUUGUAAAUAACUGUGAACCUGCUCAUGCAGAGACUAUUAACUCCUUGUAGAUUACCAUCAAAAGUUCUCAUCAGACCACUUCGGGCCUCAAAGCAUCCAGAUGGAGAAUCAGGAUUAGUACCUUCACCAGAAACCUGGAAUAUCUAGUCCUGUACAUGUCUACUGCCCUCUGGUGGAGUGUCAGAGCCAAUUUGGUUUAUUUUUUACUGUUAAAUUAUUAUACAACUAAAUAAUAAAAUACAACUGAUGAUUAUAUGGCUGUUAUAUUAACAUUAGAAGAUAAUUAUGUAGUAAAAGGGGAUGUAGCAUUGGUACAUAUUUAAGCUUUGAAUUAAGAAUUUCAAAAUUGAAACUGGAAUUAAAUCCGCAUCAAAUUAGAGAAAACCUCAAUAAAAAUGUAUACAUUUCUUAAGAAUUUUAAUCUAACACUGUAGUGUAGGGCUGCAUUGUGAUGCAGUUGGUUGCAGUGCUAUCUUGCAGCAAGAAAGGCGCAGGUUCAAAUCUUGAUUGCAGCCUUUCGGCAUGGUUGGAGUGCUCCAGGGUCCGCCCAAAGACCAAAAUCAUGCACGUCAGGUUGAGCGGAAGCUCUACAUUGUCCAUGCAGACUGGUUGUCUCUGUUUGUCCCUGUGAUGGACUGGAGACCUGUCCAGGGUGUCCAUGGAUGGAUGGAUGUAUUGCACACACAUUUAAAGAAAUGUUAUUUUAAUUAAAGUUGCUUGUGUUUCAAUCAACCUUAAAAUGAUAUGUUGGUCAUAUUAAUGUGAGUUCACAUUAAUCACUGCAAAAUUUAGGAGAUUAGAGCUGGUUAAAGAUAGCAGCAAAUACACUUUGGUUGUGUGUUCAUUUGGAAAACUCUGAAUUACACUGCAGAUGUGCUGUUGCUUCUGCUGCAUCACUCCACCUAGGUGGAAACCAGGGGAAAUGGCAUGUUGCAUCCAGUCAGCAGCAGUGGCAGCAGAAAAAGAGCAGUUGUGAAGUAAUUUGGAAGUUGUUCCGCUGAAACAAACAGCAUAAACUCAUUUGUAGAUAAUUAAAAACUGGGAAUACAGCAUUCUAACACAAAAGAAUGACUUUGUCGAGCAAAUGUUGUUUUAUAAACUGGAAAUUUAUUCCAGUUUAUUACAGAUCUGGAAAACCGUCAGUAUUGCUCCAGUCAGAGGACUACUUCCACGUUCUACAGUAACCUGCCUUUGCAUCACCUGGGGUGGGGUUACUACUGUAGGAAAAAAGGCUCACUUUAAAAACGGUUUUCAGUCUGCAAAUCAAAAUAUUCAUCACAACACUGCAUCUUAAAAUGUUGUUUUACAUCUGUGACUUUAAGCACGUCAGCUGAGUGAGAUUGUGCCUGUUGAUGAUUUUUGUGUGUUAGCGCUAUCUUGUGUAAGAAACAAGUCAUUACAGCUGAAACCUUUAAUUCCACAGCCUCUUACCUCUAGUCUGGCAAGCCAGACUAAAUAAAUGUAUUAUUUUUUGCAAAGCAAGAAUUUGGUCUAGUUCACUAGGCUAUCUUACCUCAGCUUUUGUCGGACAAAAAUCUUUUAUAAAAAGUGUGAACCUCUGAUAUGUUCCCACUUCUUUACUGUUGUCUGUGUUGUCAUGUUUUUCCUUUGUGUGUGUGUGUGUGUGUGUGUGUGUGUGUGUGUGUGUGUGUGUGUGUGUGUGUGUGUGUGUGUGUGUGUGUGUUUAAUUCAUUUAACUGUGGUAAUGUUUUUUUUAAAUAUUUUUUAGAAGCUGGUAGGAAUAUCUGUUUAUUUCAUUUGUAAGGACACUUUUAAAAUGCAUUAUUUCAAACUGUAUUUACUCCAACAUUUUACAUGAUAACACACAUGAAAGGUGCCUUAGAUUGAAGUUACAGAUGUCUGCCAUCUCCUGGCAGAAUGAGCUAUCAAAUCUGCAACUGUGGCUCUUUACAGUCAGAAAUGUUGCUUGUCGCAAUUUUGCACCUUUGGCAUCUAAAGAGUUAAGAGUUUCACAUCUAUGUUUUAAAAAAAUACUGAAGCUAUUUUUCUGAGGUUUAUGAACACACACGACGUUUCACACAGAGAUAACCUUGCAACGGGCUGUUGCUAAUGGUAACAAAAAUCUCCACUUACCCUCCCCGUGACAACAGCGCUGUCCUUUACAGGGAGAAUCCAGAUCUGGAUACCGACAACAAACCCUGAUUGAGUCCAUUUGUAUCCCUUCAGGCUUUUAUAUGCUCGUAGCGAUGCUCCGGAGUAGGACGAGGGAAAAUUAAUAAGGAAAUUAUAAAUGUCAGGGUAUCUCAAAUCCGGUAGGUCCGUUCCGACAGCGUCUGGCGUUUUAAAAAGUAUCCCAGGGGCAUGGUAAGGGUCGGAGAUGUUUAAUCUAUUUAAUUUAUCUUCGUCU
rnacentral:lncRNA from 1 species